UAAUUGACARRUGGCGAGCGGCUGUCUGGUCUGUACUGACGCUGAGGCUCGAAAGUAUGGGUAGCAAACAGGAUGAGAUACCCUGGUAAUCCAUACCGUAAACGAUGAAUGCUAAGUGUUGGAGGGUUUCCGCCCUUCAGUGCUGCAGCUAACGCAUUAAGCAUUCCGCCUGGGGAGUACGGCCGCAAGGCUGAAACUCAAA
rnacentral:rRNA from 1 species